UUCUCAUCAAGCUUUGAGUACACUUGGGUCCUGCAGUUCCUUUGGUCGCUUCAGGCCACCAGCUUCUAGAGUGUCAAACCUAAACUACCAGGAGAUUGGCCAAAGCCAGGCCCAGAAUGUCUGCUGAGAGUCAGUAAUGAAGAGGGGGUGAAUGGAUUUUGCAAAGGCUUACACUUCCUCUUUGGUUGAGCUGGACAUAUCCUGGCCAAUACCUGAUAGUAUUACCUGUCACAUCACAGGUGGCAAUCCAGAUGCACCUACACAAGAAAUCGCUACCCAGAAUAAAAUAAAACUCAUCACCUUUG